rnacentral:rRNA from 1 species
CGGGACGGGUGAGUAACGCGUGGGGAACCUGCCUUGAAGAGGGGGACAACAGUUGGAAACGACUGCUAAUACCGCAUAAGCCCACGGCUCGGCAUCGAGCAGAGGGAAAAGGAGUGAUCCGCUUUGAGAUGGCCUCGCGUCCGAUUAGCUAGUUGGUGAGGUAACGGCCCACCAAGGCGACGAUCGGUAGCCGGACUGAGAGGUUGAACGGCCACAUUGGGACUGAGACACGGCCCAG